rnacentral:sRNA from 1 species
AUCUCAUGAGCUGCCUGCGCGAUAUCCGCCUCGUCGGAGCCGACAUAGGUGUGCCGCAGCAGCAUGAUCUUCGGUCGCGGGACCUCUGGAUCCUUGGCGCAGGCGUCGUUGAACC